rnacentral:tRNA from 1 species
UCACUGGUGGUUCAGUGGUAGAAUUCUUGCCUUCCACGUGGGAGACUUAGGUUCGAUUCCUGGCCAAUGCA